rnacentral:lncRNA from 1 species
AUGGUGAAAAGAGAAGUCGAAAUCGUGGACCACCUCCCUCUUGGGGUCGCCGCCCUCGAGAUGAUUAUCGGAGAAGGAGUCCUCCACCUCGACGCAGAUCUCCAAGACGGAGAAGCUUCUCCCGCAGCCGGAGCAGGUCCCUUUCGAGAGAUAGGAGAAGAGAGAGAUCACUGUCCCGGGAGAGAAAUCAUAAGCCGUCUCGAUCCUUCUCUAGGUCUCGUAGCCGAUCUAGGUCAAAUGAAAGGAAAUAGAAGACCAGUUUGCAAGAGGAGGGGUGUACAGGAAAUAACUUCAUUUGACAGGAGUAUGUACAGAAAAUUCAAGUUUUGUUUGAGACUUCAUAAGCUUGGUGCAUUUUUAAGAUGUUUUAGCUGUUCACAUUUUUUGUCUCUUGGAACAGUGACACAUAAAGUUGUAAUUCUCUAUGGUUUGAAAUGGAUCGUAUGA